rnacentral:rRNA from 1 species
CCCUUAGAUGUCCUGGGCUGCACGCGCGCUACACUGACGAACUCAACGAGUAUUUUCGACCUUGGCAGAGAUGUCUGGGUAAUCUUCUGAAAGUUCGUCGUGAUGGGGAUAGAUGAUUGUAAUUAUUCGUCUUGAACGAGGAAUUCCUAGUAAGUGUGAGUCAUCAGCUCGCGCUGAUUACGUCCCUGCCCUUUGUACACACCGCCCGUCGCUCCUACCGAUUGAAUGGUCCGGUGAGAACGUCGGAUCACUCGUGAGAUGCCAGUUCGCUGGUGACUCGUGAGAGAAAAGUUGUUCAAACCUUACCAUUUAGAGGAAGGAGAAGUCGUAACA